rnacentral:lncRNA from 1 species
UCCUUAUGAAGGGUAAAUAGCAUUGACAUAUCACCGUUGUGGCUGUCACGUAGGUGAGAAACGUUCUUGCUAGAAACCCAAAUUAGCCACGUAAAACUUGCAACAACAAUUAGAGGACGUCUAACUUGUUUUUGCAGGGUAUGCUAUGUGAUGUGAUAUGGCCAAAAGGAUGUGAUGUUACAUAUAUGACGUAUGAGAUUGAUCAUGUUCUUGUAAUAGGAUUCACGACUUGCAUGUCGAUGAGUAUGACAACUGGCAGGAGCCAUAGGAGUUGUCUUAAUUUAUUGUAUGAGAUGCAACGCCAUGUGAUUACUUUACUUUAUUGCUAAAUGUUAGCUAUAGUAGUAGAAGUAAUAGAUUGGCGUGACGACUUCACGGAGACACAAUGAUGGAGAUCAUGGUGUCAUGCCGGUGACAAUGAUGAUCAUGGUGCCCCGAAGAUGGAGAUCCAAGGAGCAAGAUGAUAAUGGCCAUAUCAUGUCACUAUAUGACUGCAUGUGAUGUUUAUCAUGUUUUACAUCUUAUUGCUUCGAACGACGGUAGCAAAGAUAAGAUGAUCCCCUCAUGCAAAUUUCGAGAAAGUAUUCCCCUAAGUGUGCACCGUUGUGAAGGAUCGUUGUCUUGAAGCACCACGUGCAGUUCGGGUGUGAUAGAUUCUAACGUUUGCAUACAACGGGGGCAAGCCAGUUUACACA